rnacentral:ncRNA from 1 species
GGAGGUAAGACUUCGUGGAGGACCGAACCACCAGGGUUGAAAACCUGGGGGAUGACCUGUGGUUAGGGGUGAAAGGCCAAUCAAACUCCGUGAUAGCCGGUUCUCCCCGAAAUGCAUUUAGGUGCAGCGUCGUGUGUUUCUUGCCGGAGGUAGAGCACUGGAUAGGCAAUGGGCCCUACCGGGUUACUGACCUUAGCCAAACUCCGAAUGCCGGUAAGUGAGAGCGCGGCAGUGAGACUGUGGGGGAUAAGCUCCAUGGUCGAGAGGGAAACAGCCCAGAGCAUCGACUAAGGCCCCUAAGCGUACGCUAAGUGGGAAAGGAUGUGGAGUCGCACAGACAACCAGGAGGUUGGCUUAGAAGCAGCCACCCUUGAAAGAGUGCGUAAUAGCUCACUGGUCUAGUGAUUCCGCGCCGACAAUGUAGCGGGGCUCGAAGCGUACCGCCGAAGUCGUGUCAUUGCAGCAAGUACGGCCAACGCCGGC